GACGAACGCUGGCGGCGUGCUUAACACAUGCAAGUCGAACGGAAAGGCCCUGCUUUUGUGGGGUGCUCGAGUGGCGAACGGGUGAGUAACACGUGAGUAACCUGCCCUUGACUUUGGGAUAACUUCAGGAAACUGGGGCUAAUACCGGAUAGGAGCUCCUGCUGCAUGGUGGGGGUUGGAAAGUUUCGGCGGUUGGGGAUGGACUCGCGGCUUAUCAGCUUGUUGGUGGGGUAGUGGCUUACCAAGGCUUUGACGGGUAGCCGGCCUGAGAGGGUGACCGGCCACAUUGGGACUGAGAUGCGGCCCAGACUACUACGGGAGGCAGCGGUGGAGAAUAUUGCACAGUGGGCGGAAGCCUGAUGCAGCAACGCCGCGUGCGGGAUGACGGCCUUCGGGUUGUGAACCGCUUUCGCCUGUGACGAGGCGUGAGUGACGGUAAUGGGUGAAGAAGCACCGGCUAACUACGUG
rnacentral:rRNA from 1 species